CUUAACACAUGCAAGUCGAACGGUGAAGCCCAGCUUGCUGGGUGGAUCAGUGGCGAACGGGUGAGUAACACGUGAGCAAUCUGCCCCUGACUCUGGGAUAAGCGCUGGAAACGGCGUCUAAUACUGGAUAUGAGCUGCGAUCGCAUGGUCAGUAGCUGGAAAGAUUUUUUGGUCAGGGAUGAGCUCGCGGCCUAUCAGCUUGUUGGUGAGGUAAUGGCUCACCAAGGCGUCGACGGGUAGCCGGCCUGAGAGGGUGACCGGCCACACUGGGACUGAGACACGGCCCAGACUCCUACGGGAGGCAGCAGUGGGGAAUAUUGCACAAUGGGCGCAAGCCUGAUGCAGCAACGCCGCGUGAGGGAUGACGGCCUUCGGGUUGUAAACCUCUUUUAGCAGGGAAGAAGCGAAAGUGACGGUACCUGCAGAAAAAGCGCCGGCUAACUACGUGCCAGCAGCCGCGGUAAUACGUAGGGCGCAAGCGUUAUCCGGAAUUAUUGGGCGUAAAGAGCUCGUAGGCGGUUUGUCGCGUCUGCUGUGAAAUCCCGAGGCUCAACCUCGGGUCUGCAGUGGGUACGGGCAGACUAGAGUGCGGUAGGGGAGAUUGGAAUUCCUGGUGUAGCGGUGGAAUGCGCAGAUA
rnacentral:rRNA from 1 species